rnacentral:rRNA from 1 species
GAUGAACGCUGGCGGCGUGCCUAAUACAUGCAAGUCGAGCGAACGGACGAGAAGCUUGCUUCUCUGAUGUUAGCGGCGGACGGGUGAGUAACACGUGGAUAACCUACCGAUAAGACUGGGAUAACUUCGGGAAACCGGAGCUAAUACCGGAUAAUAUUGUGAACCGCAUGGUUCAAAAGUGAAAGACGUUCUUGCUGUCACUUAUAGAUGGAUCCGCGCUGCAUUAGCUAGUUGGUAAGGUAACGGCUUACCAAGGCAACGAUGCAUAGCCGACCUGAGAGGGUGAUCAGCCACACUGGAACUGAGACACGGUCCAGACUCCUACGGGAGGCAGCAGUAGGGAAUCUUGCGCAAUGGGCGAAAGCCUGACGCAGCCACGCCGCGUGAGUGAUGAAGGUCUUCGGAUCGUAAAACUCUGUUAGUAGGGAAGAACAUAUGUGUAAGUAACUCUGCACAUCUUGACGUUACCUAAUCAGAAAGCCACGGCUAACUACGUG